AGUGUACGUACAAAUAAAUACU
rnacentral:snRNA from 1 species